GUUACAGGGGGAGCUGUCGGCCCCCACCCCCUGGCCUCGGGAAGAGGGGCUGCAGAUUGAUCAAUCACCAAUGGCCAAUGAUUUCAUCAAUCACGCUCCUGUAAUGACACCCCCAUAAAACCCAACAGACGGGUCCCGAGAGCUUCCGGGUUGACCAGCGAUCUAGUGAGCAAUCUGUCCCCCGAGUCCUGUGAGCGGCUCUGGCCAGUUCGCCAAACCCAGGGAGGGGUCGUGGGAGCCUUUGGUCUGUAGCUGGUGAGUCAGAACCCAGGUGACACGUGGACUGGCGUCUGGAGGGGGGAGGGGCCGUGCUGGGGAACGAGCCCCCAGCCUGGGGACUCUGACGCUGUCUCUUUGGGUAGAUGGUGUCAGAGUCAAGGUGAACUGUAGGAGCUCCAGCUGCAUGAGAGAAUUGCUUGUUGGGGUGCCGCCGCCCUCCCUGGAUGCACUCUGUGGUUUCCACAAAGGCACAGAACCCUGCGCUCACCCACAGCACCCUACUUGACAGUCCAUCCCUGUCAAAUGUGUCUUUGGAGCUUCCUCCUCUCCCUAGAGCUCUGGCAACCGUUCACCUGUGCUUUAUCCUUCUACCCUUUUUUUUUUUUCCAGAAUGUGUCACAGGGAUCAUAACCUCUAGCCCUCAGGGUCUGGAUUCUUUGGCUUAGAAUUUAGAACCACACGUGUUGAUGUGAAUUUAUAGCUGUUCCUUCUCACCGAGCGUGGUUGUACCAAACUGUGUGCCUUCAGUCUUUACUGGAGAAUAUCUAGGUUGUUCCCGGGUUUGGGUGAUUAUGAAUAAAUAUGCUGUAAAUGAU